UACGUAGGGGGCGAGCGUUAUCCGGAUUCACUGGGUGUAAAGGGAGCGUAGACGGCCAAGCAAGCCAGGGGUGAAAGCCCGGGGCCCAACCCCGGGACUGCCCUUGGAACUGCAUGGCUGGAGUGCGGGAGGGGCAGCGGAAUUCCUGGUGUAGCGGUGAAAUGCGUAGAUAUCAGGAGGAACACCGGCGGCGAAGGCGGCCUGCUGGACCGCGACUGACGUUGAGGCUCGAAAGCGUGGGGAGCGAACAGG
rnacentral:rRNA from 1 species